rnacentral:rRNA from 1 species
CCUACGGGUGGCAGCAGUGAGGAAUAUUGGUCAAUGGGCGCGAGCCUGAACCAGCCAAGUAGCGUGAAGGAUGACGGCCCUACGGGUUGUAAACUUCUUUUAUAAAGGAAUAAAGUGAGGCACGUGUGCCUUUUUGGAUGUACUUUAUGAAUAAGGAUCGGCUAACUCCGUGCGAGCAGCCGCGGUAGGACGGAGGAACCGAGCGUGAGCCGGUUUUUUGGGGGUUAAAGGGAGCGUUGAUGGGUUGUUAAGUCAGUUGUGAAAGUUUGCGGCGCCACCGUAAAAUUGCAUUUGCUACUGGCAGUCUGGAGUGCAGUUGAGGUGGGCGGCAUUCGUGGUGUCGCGGU